GAUGAACGCUGGCGGCGUGCCUAAUACAUGCAAGUCCAGCGAACAGACGAGGAGCUUGCUCCUCUGACGUUAGCGGCGGACGGGUGAGUAACACGUGGAUAACCUACCUAUAAGACUGGGUUAACUUCGGGAAACCGGAGCUAAUACCGGAUAAUAUAUUGAACCGCAUGGUUCAAUAGUGAAAGACGGUUUUGCUGUCACUUAUAGAUGGAUCCGCGCCGCAUUAGCUAGUUGGUAAGGUAACGGCUUACCAAGGCAACGAUGCGUAGCCGACCUGAGAGGGUGAUCGGCCACACUGGAACUGAGACACGGUCCAGACUCCUACGGGAGGCAGCAGUAGGGAAUCUUCCGCAAUGGGCGAAAGCCUGACGGAGCAACGCCGCGUGAGUGAUGAAGGUCUUCGGAUCGUAAAACUCUGUUAUUAGGGAAGAACAAAUGUGUAAGUAACUAUGCACGUCUUGACGGUACCUAAUCAGAAAGCCACGGCUAACUACGUG
rnacentral:rRNA from 1 species